rnacentral:rRNA from 1 species
UGGUCAAGUUAUUAAAGGGUGCAGGCGGAUGCCUUGGCACUAGGACCGAUGAAGGACGUGAUAAGCUGCGAUAAGCUUCGGGGAGUUGCACGUAAACUUUGAUCCGAAGAUUUCCGAAUGAGGAAACUCACUUAGAGUAAUGUCUAAGUAUCAUUAAGUGAAUACAUAGCUUAAUGAGGGGAACUCAGGGAACUGAAACAUCUAAGUACCUGAAGGAAGAGAAAGAAAUUCGAUUCCGUAAGUAGCGGCGAGCGAACGCGGAUUAGCCCAAACCAAUAAAGUUUUCUUUAUUGGGGUUGCGGACAUAUCAUAACGAAGAGGUAUCGUAAUUGAAGAGGUUUGGAAAGACCCACCACAGAAGGUAAUAGUCCUGUAUGUUAAACGAGAAGACUUCAGAUAUGAUCCAGAGUACCACGGGACACGUGAAACCCUGUGGGAAGCAGGAGGGACCACCCUCCAAGGCUAAAUACUACCUAGUGACCGAUAGCGUAUAGUACCGUGAGGGAAAGGUGAAAAGAACCCCGGGAGGGGAGUGAAAUAGAACCUGAAACCCUGCACUUACAAGCUGUGGAAGCACAUUUCUUGUGUGACCGCGUACUUUUUGUAGAACGGGCCAACGAGUUACGUUAAGUAGCAAGGUUAAGCACUUAAGGUGCGGAGCCGUAGCGAAAGCGAGUUUUAACUGAGCGUUCAGUUACUUGACGUAGACCCGAAACCGGGCGACCUACCCAUGAGCAGGAUGAAGCGAAAGUAAAAUUUCGUGGAGGUCCGAACCCACGAGCGUUGAAAAGCUCGGGGAUGACUUGUGGGUAGCGGUGAAAUUCCAAUCGAGCCCGGAGAUAGCUGGUUCUCCCCGAAAUAGCUUUAGGGCUAGCCUCAAGGUGAGAGAUACGGAGGUAGAGCACUGAAUGUCCUAGGGGGUAUUGCACCUACCGAAGACUAUCAAACUCCGAAUGCCGUCAUCUUAUACUUGGGAGUCAGACUGUGGGUGAUAAGAUUCAUAGUCGAAAGGGCAACAGCCCAGAUCGUCAGCUAAGGUCCCUAAAUGUAAGUUAAGUGGUAAAGGAUGUGGGAUUGCACAGACAACCAGGAUGUUGGCUUAGAAGCAGCCACUCAUUCAAAGAGUGCGUAAUAGCUCACUGGUCGAGUGAUCCUGCGCCGAAGAUUUCCGGGGCUAAAACUUACUACCGAAGCUACGGCAUCAGUAAUGAUGGGUAGGGGAGCUUCCCAUACAGGUUGAAGCAUGACCGUAAGGACAUGUGGACAGUAUGGGAGUGAGAAUGUUGGCAUGAGUAGCGAGAUGUGGGUGAGAAUCCCACAGGCCGUAAACCCAAGGUUUCCAGGGGAAGGUUCGUCCGCCCUGGGUUAGUCGGGACCUAAGCUGAGGCCGAAAGGCGUAGGUGAUGGACAACAGGUUGAUAUUCCUGUACUACCGAUAACCGUUUGAGAGAAGGGAUGACACAGUAGGAUAAGUUAAGCACACUGUUGGUUAUGUGUGCCCAAGCAUUGAGGCAGUCAAAGCAGGCAAAUCCGCUUUGAUAAUGCUGGGAUGUGAUGGGGAGCGAAAUUUAGUAGCGAAGUAGCUGAUUUCACACUGUCAAGAAAAGUCUCUAUCGAGGUUAAAGGUACCCGUACCGCAAACCGACACAGGUGGGUGAGGAGAGUAUCCUAAGGCCAGCGAGAGAACUGUUGUUAAGGAACUCGGCAAAAUGACCCCGUAACUUAGGGAUAAGGGGUGCCACCAUCAGGUGGCCGCAGAGAAUAGGCCCAAGCGACUGUUUACCAAAAACAUAGGUUUCUGCUAAGUCGCAAGACGAUGUAUAGGAGCUGACGCCUGCCCGGUGCUGGAAGGUUAAGGGGAUCUGUUAGAGCAAUCGAAGCAGUGAACUUAAGCCCCAGUAAACGGCGGCCGUAACUAUAACGGUCCUAAGGUAGCGAAAUUCCUUGUCGGGUAAGUUCCGACCCGCACGAAAGGCGUAACGAUUUGGGCACUGUCUCAACAACAGACUCGGUGAAAUUGUAAUUCCGGUGAAGAUGCCGGAUACCUGCGACAGGACGGAAAGACCCCAUGGAGCUUUACUGUAGCUUGACAUUGGGUCUUGGUACUACAUGUACAGGAUAGGUGGGAGGCUUUGAAACCAGGACGCCAGUUUUGGCGGAGCCAUCCUUGGGAUACCACCCUUGUAGUACUGGGACUCUAACCAUAGGCCAUGAAUCUGGUCUUGGGACACUGUCAGGUGGGCAGUUUGACUGGGGCGGUCGCCUCCCAAAAGGUAACGGAGGCGCUCAAAGGUUCUCUCAGUACGGUCGGAAAUCGUACGUAGAGUGUAAAGGCAAAAGAGAGCUUGAUUGCAAGACAUACAGGUCGAGCAAGGAUGAAAAUCGGACUUAGUGAUCCGGUGGUUCUGCGUGGAAGGGCCAUCGCUCAACGGAUAAAAGCUACCCUGGGGAUAACAGGCUUAUCUCCCCCAAGAGUCCACAUCGACGGGGAGGUUUGGCACCUCGAUGUCGGCUCAUCACAUCCUGGGGCUGUAGUAGGUCCCAAGGGUUGGGCUGUUCGCCCAUUAAAGUGGUACGCGAGCUGGGUUCAGAACGUCGUGAGACAGUUCGGUCCCUAUCCGUCGCAGGCGUAGGAAAUUUGAGAAGACCUGUCCUUAGUACGAGAGGACCGGGAUGGACGUACCUCUGGUGUACCAGUUGUCCUGCCAAGGGCAUGGCUGGGUAGCUAUGUACGGAAUGGAUAAGCGCUGAAAGCAUCUAAGCGCGAAGCCAACUUCAAGAUAAGAUUUCCCACCGCAAGGGUAAGACCCCAGAAAGACUAUCUGGUUGAUAGGUCGAAGGUGUAAGUGCAGCAAUGUAUUUAGCUUAUCGAUACUAAUAGGUCGAGGACUUGACCAAU